GCUCCGGUGGCCUAGUGGUUAGAACGUCCGCCCGCCUCGGAUGCGGGAGGUCGUGGGUUCAAUCCCCGGCCAUGUAAUA